rnacentral:rRNA from 1 species
GAUGAACGCUGGCGGCGUGCCUAAUACAUGCAAGUCGAGCGAAUGGAUUAAGAGCUUGCUCUUAUGAAGUUAGCGGCGGACGGGUGAGUAACACGUGGGUAACCUGCCCAUAAGACUGGGAUAACUCCGGGAAACCGGGGCUAAUACCGGAUAAUAUUUUGAACUGCAUGGUUCAAAAUUGAAAGGCGGCUUCGGCUGUCACUUAUGGAUGGACCCGCGUCGCAUUAGCUAGCUGGUGAGGUAACGGCUAACCAAGGCAACGAUGCGUAGCCGACCUGAGAGGGUGAUCGGCCACACUGGGACUGAGACACGGCCCAGACUCCUACGGGAGGCAGCAGUAGGGAAUCUUCCGCAAUGGACGAAAGUCUGACGGAGCAACGCCGCGUGAGUGAUGAAGGCUUUCGGGUCGUAAAACUCUGUUGUUGGGGAAGAACAAGUGCUAGUUGAAUAAGCUGGCACCUUGACGGUACCUAACCAGAAAGCCACGGCUAACUACGUGCCAGCAGCCGCCGUAA